AUCGCCAGAAGCUUGGCGAUGUAGGGGAUCAGCGGCAAGUUCAGAAUCAGCAGCACCAGAUUGCCGAUGAACAUCGACAUAAUGACGGCCCAGAAGAUUUGCGGCUCGUCGAUCAUCAGGCGCGGGCC
rnacentral:ncRNA from 1 species